AGCUUGAUAAGUGUGUAAAAGACACUCUGUUGGACCUCUGCUGGACCCUUGGUAUUCUAACUCCGAAAGCAAACAUUAGAAAGGAAGAUAUUGUGUCAAAGCUGUUGGACUUCAUUGCUGAACCUCACUCUUCAGCUGAAUCUUGGGGCUCUGAUGACCAGGGAUCAAAUUCUAAAAAACACAAGAGAGGAGGUGAAAGUGCAAGUAAGACGCCUGAUGGCACACCUAGUUGGUCGAGGAAG